GUCUAUCUUCUUCAGGAUUAUUUUGUUUUGGAAAUUUAAUUUAUGAGAAGAUUAAUAGACGAAGGUUAUUU